rnacentral:rRNA from 1 species
UACGGAAGGCAGCAGUGGGGAAUAUUGCACAAUGGGCGCAAGCCUGAUGCAGCCAUGCCGCGUGUAUGAAGAAGGCCUUCGGGUUGUAAAGUACUUUCAGUCGUGAGGAAGGUGUUAAGGUUAAUAACCUUAGCAAUUGACGUUAGCGACAGAAGAAGCACCGGCUAACUCCGUGCCAGCAGCCGCGGUAAUACGGAGGGUGCGAGCGUUAAUCGGAAUUACUGGGCGUAAAGGGCACGCAGGCGGUUAAUUAAGUUGGAUGUGAAAUCCCCGGGCUUAACCUGGGAAUGGCAUUCAAGACUGGUUAGCUAGAGUCUUGUAGAGGGGGUAGAAUUCCAUGUGUAGCGGUGAAAUGCGUAGAGAUGUGGAGGAAUACCGGUGGGCGAAGGCGGCCCCUGGGACAAAGGACUGACGCUCAUGUGCGAAAAGCGUGGGGAGCGAAAACAGGGAUUAGAUACC